GGAUCCCAUCAGAACUCCGAAGUGAAGUGUGGUUGGGCGAGAGUAGUACUAGGAUGGGUGACCUCCUAGGAAAUCCUCGUGGUAAAACUCGUGUCGGUGCGGUAGAGAGGGGGUGGUGGAAACACCGUCAAACUAGUAUCUGUCGUUGAGCGGGAGAGUAAGUAGUGUAGUGGAGUAUCCGUUAUUAGGCAGCGGUGGCAACAGUCCUAUUUAUAGUGGAUCUAGGAGGGACGAGCAUAAGGGACGAAGUUGGGGAAACAUGUUGGAUGCGAUCAUACCAGCAAUAAAGCACC
rnacentral:rRNA from 1 species